rnacentral:rRNA from 1 species
AUUGAACGCUGGCAGCAUGCCUUACACAUGCAAGUCGAACGGUAGAGGGCUUCGGCCCUUGAGAGUGGCGAACGGGUGAGUAAAGCAUCGGAACGUACCCUGUCGAGGGGGAUAACGUAGCGAAAGUUACGCUAAUACCGCAUAAGACCUGAGGGUGAAAGUGGGGGACUGGAAACGGCCUCACGCGAUGGGAGCGGCCGAUGUCGGAUUAGCUAGUUGGUGGGGUAAAGGCCUACCAAGGCGACGAUCCGUAGCGGGUCUGAGAGGAUGAUCCGCCACACUGGGACUGAGACACGGCCCAGACUCCUACGGGAGGCAGCAGUGGGGAAUUUUGGACAAUGGGCGCAAGCCUGAUCCAGCCAUGCCGCGUGGGUGAAGAAGGGCCUUCGGGUUGGUUAAAGGACCCGUUUACCGGUCCCGGGGAACGGAAAACGGUAGACGGGCGGAACGA